rnacentral:rRNA from 1 species
AGGCAGCAGUGGGGAAUAUUGCACAAUGAGGGAAACCCUGAUGCAGCCAUGCCGUCGUGUGUGAAGUAAGGCCUUCGGGUUGUUAAAGCACUUUCAGUAGGGAGGAAGGUAGUGUAGUUAACACCUGCACUAUUUGACGUUACCUACAGAAGAAGCACCGGCUAACUCCGUGCCAGCAGCCGCGGUAAUACGGAGGGUGCGAGCGUUAAUCGGAAUUACUGGGCGUAAAGCGCAUGCAGGCGGCCUGUUAAGUCAGAUGUGAAAGCCCGGGGCUUAACCUCGGAAUUGCAUUUGAAACUGGCAGGCUAGAGUCUUGUAGAGGGGGUAGAAUUUCAGGUGUAGCGGUGAAAUGCGUAGAGAUCUGAAGGAAUACCAGUGGCGAAGGCGGCCCCCUGGACAAAGACUGACGCUCAGAUGCGAAAGCGUGGGGAGCAAACAGGAUUAGAUACCCUGGUAG